rnacentral:rRNA from 1 species
GGCGUGCUUAACACAUGCAAGUCGAACGAACCUUCGGGUUAGUGGCGGACGGGUGAGUAACGCGUGGGAAUCUGCCCUCAGGAGGGGGAUAACGGCUGGAAACGGCCGCUAAUACCCCAUAUGCCGAGAGGUGAAAUGAAUUUCGCCUGAGGAUGAGCCCGCGUCUGAUUAGCUAGUUGGUGGGGUAAAGGCCCACCAAGGCGACGAUCAGUAGCUGGUCUGAGAGGAUGAUCAGCCACACUGGGACUGAGACACGGCCCAGACUCCUACGGGAGGCAGCAGUGGGGAAUUUUCCGCAAUGGGCGAAAGCCUGACGGAGCAACGCCGCGUGAGGGAUGAAGGCCUCUGGGCUGUAAACCUCUUUUCUCAAGGAAGAAGACAUGACGGUACUUGAGGAAUAAGCCACGGCUAAUUCCGUGCCAGCAGCCGCGGUAAUACGGGAGUGGCAAGCGUUAUCCGGAAUUAUUGGGCGUAAAGCGUCCGCAGGCGGCCUUGUAAGUCUGUCGUUAAAGCGUGGAGCUUAACUCCAUUUAAGCGAUGGAAACUACAAGGCUUGAGUGUGGUAGGGGCAGAGGGAAUUCCCGGUGUAGCGGUGAAAUGCGUAGAUAUCGGGAAGAACACCAGUGGCGAAGGCGCUCUGCUGGGCCAUAACUGACGCUCAUGGACGAAAGCCAGGGGAGCGAAAGGGAUUAGAUACCCCUGUAGUCCUGGCCGUAAACGAUGAACACUAGGUGUCGGGGGAAUCGACCCCCUCGGUGUCGUAGCCAACGCGUUAAGUGUUCCGCCUGGGGAGUACGCACGCAAGUGUGAAACUCAAAGGAAUUGACGGGGGCCCGCACAAGCGGUGGAGUAUGUGGUUUAAUUCGAUGCAACGCGAAGAACCUUACCAGGGUUUGACAUCCUGCGAAUCCCUUGGAAACGAGGGAGUGCCUUCGGGAGCGCAGAGACAGGUGGUGCAUGGCUGUCGUCAGCUCGUGUCGUGAGAUGUUGGGUUAAGUCCCGCAACGAGCGCAACCCACGUCUUUAGUUGCCAGCAUUCAGUUGGGCACUCUAGAGAGACCGCCGGUGAUAAACCGGAGGAAGGUGUGGAUGACGUCAAGUCAUCAUGCCCCUUACAUCCUGGGCUACACACGUACUACAAUGCUACGGACAAAGGGCAGCAAGCUCGCGAGAGUUAGCAAAUCCCAUAAACCGUGGCUCAGUUCAGAUCGUAGGCUGCAACUCGCCUACGUGAAGGAGGAAUCGCUAGUAAUCGCAGGUCAGCAUACUGCGGUGAAUACGUUCCCGGGCCUUGUACACACCGCCCGUCACACCAUGGAAGUUGGCCAUGCCCGAAGUCGUUACUCCAACCCUUGUGGAGGAGGACGCCGAAGGUGGGGCUGAUGACUGGGGUGAAGUCGUAACAAGGUAGCCGUACCGGAAGGUGCGGCUGGAUCACCUCCU